rnacentral:SRP_RNA from 1 species
GCCGGGCGCAGUGGCUCAUACCUGUAAUCCCAGCUCCUCGGGAGGCUGAGGCAAGAGAAUUGCUUGAACCCAGGAGUCAGAGGUUGCAGUGAGCUGAGAUCAUGCCACUGCACUCCAGUCUGGGCGACAGAGCGGGACUCCAUCUACNNNNNNNNNNUUUUUUUUUUUUUGGUAGAUGGAGUCCCGCUCUGUCGCCCAGACUGGAGUGCAGUGGCAUGAUCUCAGCUCACUGCAACCUCUGACUCCUGGGUUCAAGCAAUUCUCUUGCCUCAG